rnacentral:lncRNA from 1 species
CUUUGAAUCAAACCCCACAGAACAAACAUGUAAAUAAUGUUAAUUAGUUUCUGAAAUCAAAUUAUAAUUAAGAGAAAUCAGAAAAUGAAGGAAGAAAGAUGCAAGUGAUGAAUUUGGCCAAGACAAGUGUUUGACACUGUUUUCUUAAGAUGAAUUUGUCCCGCAUCGGUGCUAACGAUUUUUCGACAAUUAUCUCCCAAGAUACAAUGACCACGUCAAGCCAUAGGAGCACUCCAAAUGGCUUCGACCAAAGAACUCGAACGAAAUUCCCUCUCUAUCAUAACAAUGAUUUUGAUGCAAAAGAUAAUCACUUCUACAAAAUGUUUUAUGUAACUUAACAUGAAAUGAAUAAUAUGGAAUUAUGGAAUGAAUUGGAAUGACAAAUACACAUCCAAGGGGUCCUAUAUAUAGAAGAUGAAGGGUUGUGGAUGAAGGGACACACCCCAAAUCCAGUAUUUUUCAUGGAAAGUUGCAACACUUCAUUUCAGAAAGUUGCAACACUUCAUUUCAAACAUGUAUCAUUUCGAAAAGUUGUAACACUUCAUUCUUCCAACUUUGGACCGCAAUUUCUCAUUCAUCUGGAAUUGAUUUCGAGAUUUCAAAUAUACCACGACGAUCUACUUGAUAAAUAGAAUAAGUUGAUCUAUUUACUUUUAUAAUUUGACUAUCGGAUCAAGUCCGAACAUUCGACCGAAGUUGACACGAAGUCAUACCUUUUCAUUUUCCCAGUUUUAAACUUAACCAAUUUUCGGUUAAUUUUUGAACCAAUUCCAACAAUCCCCCACAUGAAUGAAAAUUCGAGUAUGCAAAUGUAAUGCUAUGAUGUGAUACAAGUAGAGAGAGUGGAAAGCCACUGCAUCGGGGAUAGUAGCUUCUGGCCUUGAACCUCCCGUAGUGAAAUACCAUCGAACUUACUCGGCUAAUUGGUGAAUGUGAUAUCUUGAACCAUUCAGCCUUUAGUGUAAGUCAAGACAAUGAUACUCACACAAAUGUUUUUCCUAAACCGAUCAUGGUUCUCAUGACUUGGUUCAUUUUGGCCAUGAACCCUUCUUGGUUCUGCGAGUGUUUAAAGAAUUCAAGCCUUGAAUAAUUCUCAUUGAAGCGGCCCCACUUCACACUCACAUAGGUGACCUCCUAUUAAGAGUAUUCUGUCCUACUCCACUUGACUUAAUCAAGAUAUAGGAACCAUUAAAAAAUUAUCUUAAUCUCUUGCAACUCUACAGAAAGCACUUUAAUGUCAUAGGAAUGAGUUAGGAAAUUAUUUUUCUUAGUGUUUCAUGGAAUCCUCAUAACUUAGUUGUCCCUUUGAACCAAGAUCUUUGGAUCUCUAGUCAACAAGGUAGGGUUACUAUUACAAGGACUCUAAUAUAGUAGGCUUUACCCCAUUCCCUUCGAUAUGUAGUAUUUUUGAUCUCUCUUAGUAAAUCUUUUUAAAGGUACCACAAGUUUACAUCAUUGAGAUCAACUGCUUAACGGUAUUAUAUCUAUAACUUAUACGUCUAGACUUACCAUUACUUGUGACUUAAUAUCUUAUCAAAUAUAACUAGCCAAUGAUCGAUUCAUUUGAUAGAUACAAAUUGUCGUCACCAAAAAAUCUUCUCAUGAAGCUAUAUGCCUCAUUAGCUUUAUCUAAAGCUUUAUCAAUUUUCAAACUCGGUUGGAGGAUUUCUAUCAAACACUACACUAGUCAAUCAUUUUUACUAGUGGAUUUCAAAAUCAUGGGUAUUUAAUAUUAUCAUUGAAAUAUUACCAUGCAUUUGAAUUUUAUGAAUAUUCUUCAUAUAUUCCAAUUGUUCUUGCAUGUCUAAACAAACGUCAUAAUCGGCUUUACAACCCAUUUAAUCCACUUUAGACUUAGUGUAUAUCAUCCUUAUAAUUAGUAUAUGGGUUUUCUAUCUUUCCACCUUCAUAUGUAUCAUUAUAUGAUUAUAAGAUAGAAGCAAACGUAACUGUUAAACUGAGUUACCCCCACAAUUUCUCAAUUAGGAAUACAUAUGCAAUCUAGUAAUGUUGCAUUCACAAGUUUUGAACUUUCCAUUUCAAGUUCACAAGCAUUAAGUUUAACCCCACACAUUCUUAGAUUAUACUUGAACAUAGAGUUCAUCAACUCUUUCAUAGUUCAAUUCAUUUAUCUCUUAGAUAAUAUCUGUAUCGAGUAUUUCGUGAAAGUCUAAGUACUUUCAAAAUAUUGGUCGUCAACUUGCAUAUAACGUACUUCAAUCUAAUUAAUUUUGAUCAUCCAAAUUAAAUAAAGGCCAUCACAUAGACCAACAAUGCUUUCCAAGCAUAUACCAACUUAAUUGGCUUCAUGAUUGAAGUCAAAUUCAGCAAUAAAGAGGGUUAAGCAUUUCAACUUCUUCAAAUAGAUGCAACUUAUCACAUUUGUGACAUUUCACAUGACAGUUUCUUUUCA